rnacentral:rRNA from 1 species
GCGCAGACGGUUACUUAAGCAGGAUGUGAAAUCCCCGGGCUCAACCUGGGAACUGCGUUCUGAACUGGGUGACUAGAGUGUGUCAGAGGGAGGUAGAAUUCCACGUGUAGCAGUGAAAUGCGUAGAGAUGUGGAGGAAUACCGAUGGCGAAGGCAGCCUCCUGGGAUAACACUGACGUUCAUGCCCGAAAGCGUGGGUAGCAAACAGGAUUAGAUACCCUGGUAGUCCACGCCCUAAACGAUGUCGAUUAGCUGUUGGGCAGCUUGACUGCUUAGUAGCGAAGCUAACGCGUGAAAUCGACCGCCUGGGGAGUACGGUCGCAAGAUUAAAACUCAAAGGAAUUGACGGGGACCCGCACAAGCGGUGGAUGAUGUGGAUUAAUUCGAUGCAACGCGAAGAACCUUACCUGGUCUUGACAUGUACGGAACCCUCCAGAGACGGAGGGGUGCCUUCGGGAGCCGUAAUACAGGUGCUGCAUGGCUGUCGUCAGCUCGUGUCGUGAG